CCUACGGGUGGCAGCAGUAGGGAAUCUUCCGCAAUGGGCGAAAGCCUGACGGAGCGACGCCGCGUGAGUGAUGAAGGCCUUCGGGUUGUAAAGCUCUGUGGGGAGGGAAGAAUAAGUUCAGGUCAAUACCCUGAAUGAUGACGGUACCUCCUUAGCAAGCACCGGCUAACUCUGUGCCAGCAGCCGCGGUAAGACAGAGGGUGCGAACGUUGUUCGGAAUUACUGGGCGUAAAGCGUGUGUAGGCGGCAAGGCAAGUCGGAUGUGAAAUCCCGUG
rnacentral:rRNA from 1 species